AUGGCAGAAGGAAAGCAUUGCAAAAGGACAACCGAUGGUAAUGAAGAGAGGUACAAUAAUGUGUCCCAUUUUCCUGAACAUGGAAGUUAUACUGAUGAUGUUUUGAGGGUUGCCGGUAUGAAUUCUCCUGAGGCAACACUAUCUGCUCCAGGAUCAUCAAUGCCAGAAUAUGAGUUGGGCAGAGAUAAAUAUGGGGAUGAUGUUGACUUAUCAUAUGGUGGAUAUACAGAACCUCUAGGGAGUAAUCAAAUUCAUGCUUCAGCAGUAGAAGAUUUAACGAGUGUGGAUUCACCUCAAAGGAAGAGGCUUCGGAAUUCUAAAGGAUCUGAUGACGGAAGUGAGAAAAGUAAGGGGAAAAAAGAAAAGGACACUAUGUUGGCCAACUUGGUUUCCGUGAGGGAGGAAGAAAUGCAAACUUAUAAAGAAAUGAAGACGAAGCAAAUUGAUAGCUACAAGGAAAUCAAGAUGGCACAAAUGGAAAGGUGA
rnacentral:rRNA from 1 species